UGCUACCGAUUUCGGGAUGGUUCCCGAAGGGGCUUGCCCCCCCAGGGAUGAAAAGGGAACGCGGUGCGGUGCCGGACAGGCGCCAAAUCCGCGACUGCCCCCGCAACUGUAGGCGGAUAGCACGCGCGAAAGGCUCCACUGAUCCGGAUCGGGUCGGGAAGGAUCGCGCCAGCCAUGACCCGCAAGUCAGGAGACCUGCCAUCAUCCGAUAGACCCU
rnacentral:ncRNA from 2 species